GUGUGUGUGUGUGUGUGUAAGGACUCAGUGGGACUAUGCAAUAGACUUCUUUCUUAUCUUCUGGAAAUCCUAUAUCCUAAGUACUGUGUGUUGCUCAUUCUUAUAAACCCUGCAGUCCCUUCCUUUAUCAUUUUCCAGGAAGUGCAGAACUUUAUAAUCUCCUUCAACAGAAAAUCUACCUGCGAAAGGAAACCUCCCAUCCUUAUCCUAAGACACACCUAAAGGCACAAAGCAGCAUUCCCUGUGGGUAACAGCAAUGUCUCUACCUCCAAGUGGGUGGCUGCCCCCUCCCCCAGAGCAGCCCUGGAAUUCCACUCUAGGUCUUUUCUAACUGUGCCUUCUAUUGCAGUCUUGCCUGGGGAUCUUUUGCUCUCUGUAUGGCUGUUUCAGUGGCGACCAUGAGCAGAUACACCACAGCCCAAGCAGAGGUGCCAAGGGCACAGAAAGGUGGUCCAUACCCUCAGCACAACACCCCACAGCCUGGACCUUCACGGAAGGUUUGGCAAACAGGAGCGACUCCCCAUCCUGUGGGACACAUCUUCACGAAUGUUCCUGGGCACCCGCCCCCAGGUACAGGAGGCAAAGUGUCCAUGUGCUAGCCAGUGCUGCAUGUGUGGAUGAGCCGGGCAUUUAUUACCACAAUGAACACCCCUGGAGUGGAGUUCAGAAGACCACAGUAUAGGUAAACUUUCCACUACCCCUCUCUGGACUUAGCCUCUCAUGUCUCCUACAAUUCCUGUGUCUUUAAAGGAAAUAAUGUCUACAGAAGAUAUCAACUAUUAACACCCCACUAUAAAGGAACAUUGUCGUUUCUCUGACUCUGAGUUUAAUCAAUAUCCCAAAGAAAGUGGGAUCAUGAAAGUAUUAAGGGCAACAAUGAUGAAGGAAAGGACUCCCCAUCCUUUACAGCAGAAGCAAAAUAUGUCACCCACACACAUUCACGGACAGUCAAACCUGGAAUAUUUCUUUCUAGUUGAUGCAGGAAAUAUGAGGCCAUACUGUACAUUCUAAUUUUCAGUAAGAAGACAGAAAUUUUAAAGUCAAUUAUGUUGCCUAAAGAUAUCCUUGACCAGGCUUGGAGACACAGGUCUUUAAUCUCACAACUCAGGAGGCAGAGGCAGUUGGAUUUUUGUGAGUUUAAAACCAGUCAGUUCCAAGACAGCAGAGCUCCAUAAUAGAGGAACUGGAUCUCAAAGUGAAUUCCUAGUGUCUACUCGCAAUGAAGCCAGUUUGGAAGGACUGCGAAGUGAGAGGCAGCAAUGCCAUGACAUCUUAUCACAGGGAAAGGCAGCGAAUGCUUGGAUUGUGCUGCUUGAGUUAAACCACAAGGCAUUCGUGCAUCUAAAAAUAAACCCUGCCAAGCGUGCAGGCCUUGUGGGAGGUGGCACUGUGCUCGGGACUUCCUGGUGCACUCAGUUAGGACACUGCAUGAGGCUAUCCCCUGGCUUAAACCGGCGUGAGAUUAAGCCACAGGUUAGCAGGCAUGUGGAGCAUUUUGGAAAGGAAUAGAGACCGCAAAUCCCGAGAACCUUAAACACGUCCUAGCCCAGAGGGAUUUAAAAGAAUGUACAUUUACUUGUUCGUGUGUCUAUUUUGUGUGUGUUCAUGGGUGGAAGCCAGAGGACAACUUGCAGAGCUGAGUCUCUCCUUCUACUGUGUGGAUCCUAGGGAUCGAACUCAGGUCCUCAAAUUUGGUGGCAAACUCUUUUCCCGAUGAACCAUCUCACCAGCCCCUCAGAAUCAUUUUUUUGUGCUGCAUUUAUGUAGUUAAUAAAUAUAUUUCUGAAAAAAGCUAGAUGUCUACAGUAAAACAGUAAUGUGUUUGUGCGUGCUGAAAUUAAGUUAUACUAUCAAAGAGUAAUGGGGAAACUUUCAACUAGUUUCUUCAUGUUUAAGAUUCAGGUUGAACAUCUGUCUGGUAAUUGUUGGUCCCGUGUGUUUUGUUGUACAGUGGUUUAAACCCAGCUUCUCUCAUCUCAGAGACGAGUGUCAGUGUCCCCUGGGCCCUUAGCCCUCCCAGAAGAGAAGGACUGAUACCCAAUAACCUCUGCCCUUUGUGUAGCAUGUGGCUUCUUCCAUAGGGCUCAUCACCCUGCAUGUGUAUGCAAGGAGAGCCUGGGUGACGUCCUAGUGUCCAGUCUCAUCUGGUCCCAGAGAAGAGGAAAUCCUUAGAAAUGUUCCCCAGAGAUACUUGACUGUUGGAUGAAAAUGAGAAGCCUACCGCUGACGAUGCCACGGAAGAAGUGAACCUUCUGGAGUCACUCGAACAAAACCGUUGUCAAAGGAGCCGGCAGCUGACGUGGAUGUCGGGGUGAAGCUCGAGUCAAGACAGGUUCUUGAGCUCCAAAGACAUUUGCUCUCUUUUAAAAUCUUAAAAAUAUUGAUUGCGUACCAGGUUGUGAAUGCCUAUAAUCCUAGCACUGAGACAGGAGGAUGAUGAGUUUGAGGCCAGUCCAAAAUACACAAUGAGGCCAUUUCUAACAUGGACAAAUGUAGUGUGGUGUUGAAGCAUAGCACACAAACAGAUGGGUAUCUAAGUUACAUGUGUGCAGCGUUUUCAAAAAGGGAACAUUUGCCCCAGUGUGACCGUAUUGCUGGUCAAGAAACAAAGAUGCAUCGUCUGUGUCUGCCAGAACACAUGCACUGCCAUAUUCUAAUUCUUCAGUAUAUUAAAAUGUUUUCUUUACAUUUCUGUUCCCUCACACAGGCCAUAAAUUUAUUUUAUGAGACUAUAUAAACAUUUCUCCUUUUAUCUCCAACAUCUUAAUUAAUGUUUGAUGUGUGUAUGUGUUGAUCCUUCACACACACACACCCCAGAUAGUCUUCUAAAAAAAUCAUUUCCUGGGAAAUAAUAUGGCUAUGACUAUCAACAGGAAUUCUACAGCCAGAUAAUCUGCCUGUUUUGGUUUGGAUAUAAAAGGAACCAUUUUUCAUUUUUUGUUAAAGAGUUGGUCCCCACCUAGGGGUGUGAUUGAAAAUGCAUGGAUCAUGCGGGCACUAACUUCAUCAAUAGACUAAUUGAUGAGUUCAUAGUUGGAUGGGUUAUUAGAGGCUGGGUUCUUGUAUGAUUAAAAAAAAUGACUUGGGGUAUAUAUGACUUUGAAUAGGAGCAAAGAUCUCAGUGGCCCUGUCUCAGAGACAGCCAAGAUCAAGGGAUGAAAACCCACCGGCCAUUUUAAUCUGACAGCUCUCUGUCCUUGGUUAACCCAUCAGUGAAUUUUAUCAGGUGUCUACAAUGCCACAGGCACCACGCCAUCUCUCCUGCUUGGAAGAAUGUAGAACUCUGGCUGGGGCCAGUGCUGGAAGAACUGUUCAAUGAGGCUAGAAUAGGAUUUGCUCAUAAAGCAUGUUGAUUCCUGAAACACAGACAAGGAAUGUGUAGAGAGAGCCCUGGAUGCGUGACACAGGUGGGAUUGAGACUCACUUGUCUCUAGUGACCAGUCACAGAAAAACUUCAGUCUUGUCUGCCAAGAAAGGGCAGAUUGGAAAAUUGUCCAAUUUUCUGAAGAUUUAAGGACACGCCAAUGACCCGCUCACAGGAUUUAUUGCUCUCUUAGUAACAUUGCCUAGGAAGGAGGAGCAUGAAGAGCCAGAGUGAUUAUGGGUUGUUCCAUGCAGCAAGGGAAUAAGGUAUUCUUCCCUAAAAUGUGGAAGAAAAAAGGAUGGCAAAUUAAAAACAAGAGACUUGGGGAGGACAGGCUGCAAAAAUUCUGAGAGAAUGCACAUGAUUCGCUUUCUUCACUGGUUUGCUUUAUUUCAUUUUAAUAUUUUUAACGAUAAAAUUAGUUUGCUGUAAGCUACAUGAAAUAACAGGACAGAUGCACGUGUUCUCAUCAAUCAGCUUCAACACAAGUGCUUCCUAUGGCUGCCACUCCUCUCCCUUUAUGAGAAAAGAAAUGAAUAAAAUAUAAGAUAAACAGCUAGAACCUCUCUCUGACACACACACACACACACACACACGCCUUGCUCUCUCCCGACACCCACUCAGUACCUGGGAACCACAGGCACUACUCCUUCACAUGACUGAACAUGUUUGUCCCCUGUAGCUGUUUCCAUAACCACACAAACCCUGUCUCAAGAA
rnacentral:lncRNA from 1 species